GGGCGUUGCCCUAGCUGGCUCAGAGCAUUCCGCUCCGCGGAAGGGUCGGCGGUUCGAACCCGUCAACUCCCACGA
rnacentral:tRNA from 1 species